AUGACUUUGAUCUGCGUCCUCAUCUGGACUCUCCUCUGCUGCUGCUUCACAGAGUCCAGAGGUCAGGUCACAGUGACUCAGUCUGCAGCAGUGAGCUCUGCUGUGGGACGCUCCGUCUCCAUCUCAUGUAGGACCAGUCAGGAUGUUUUUAUUAACGACCAUUUAUCCUGGUACCAACAGAAAGAUGGACAACCUCCUAAACUCCUCAUUUAUCGCACUAACCGCAGACAAUCAGGAAUCUCAGAUCGUUUUUCAGGCAGUGGAUCUGGAUCUGACUUCACUCUGACCAUCAGUGGAGUUCAGGCUGAAGAUGCUGCAGUUUAUUACUGUCAGAGUUAUCAUCAUAUAAACAGCCAGCGUCUGUUCACACAGUGA